GGGCGGUGUUCUCGGAAGCCGAGAGGGACAAAGCGAGCAGGCGGUGGAAGAAAGGAAGAAGCCUUCGGAAGCUGUUCAGCGUCAGAGCUCUCUUAACUUCUUGAGAAUUCCCUUCUUUAUGCGUUUGGGUGGGACAACAGAGCUCAUUAUAUCAGUCUGUGAGAAAUUCUAAGAUGAAAUGUGACUUAAAGCCAUACCUGAAUGAAGCAAGGAACACCCCUUGGCAAACAGGAUGAAAGGCAAGUGUUGGAGGUGAA